CGGAGAGGGCGCCUGAGAAACGUCUUUUUACAUCCAGGAAGGCAGCAGGCGCGCAAAUUACCCAACCCUGACACGGGGAGGNAGGGACAAUACGUACUGAUGUGGAGCUCUUUUGGCUUUCACAAUUGGAGUGAGUACUAUUUAUCUCCCUUAACGAGGAACAAUUGGAGGGCAAGUCUGGUGCCAGCACCCGCGGUAAUUCCAGCUCCUAUAGCGUAUAUUAAAGGUGUUGCAGUUAAAAAGCUCGUAUGUGGACCUUGGCCCUGGACGGGCGGCCCGCCUCACGGCGUGCACUGUCUUGCCGGCUCUUUCCUCUUGGAGAUCUGUUGUUUCGGCAGCAGGGAACCAAGACCUUUACUUUGAAAAUUUUAGAGUGCUCAAAGCACGCUCCACCCCGGAAUAUAUUAGCGUGGAAUAAUAAAAUAGGACGUGCGGCUCUAUUUUGGUGGUUUUUGGACUCGCCGUAGUGAUUAAUAGGGACAGUCGGGGGUAUUAACACUCACGUGCUAGAGGAGAAAUUCUUGGAUUGUGUGAACACUAUCUUCUGCGAAAGCAUUUGCCGAGGAUGUUCUCUUUACUCAAGAACGAAGGAUAAGAUAUCGAACACUUACGCACACUUGCUCAUUUAGAGGAAGUAAAAGUCGUAACGAGGUAACCAAGGGAGAAUUCGUUUACCCCCUGCAAGACUACUCCCUUUAGAGAG
rnacentral:rRNA from 1 species